UGGCUCUGAGCUAACAUCUGUUGCCAAUCUUCCUCUUUUUUUUUUUCCUCCCCAAAGCCCCACUACAUACUUGUAUAUCCUAGUUGUGUCAUUCUAGUUCUUCUACAUGGGAGGCCACCACAGCAUGGUUUGAUGAGUGGUGCUCUGGUCCACCCAGGAUCCGAAUCAGCGAACCCUGGGCCACCAAAGUGGAGCACGUGAACUUAACCAUGGCCACGGGGCGGCCCCUCUUACCCCUUUCAAACAAACCUCAAACUCUCAGGCUGCCUCUCGAGCUUGCUCUCUCUCUCUCAUAGACACACACACACAGCUUCAUGAGUAAGUUUUCUCUAAAUUCCAGUAUUUACAGAAAACAAUCCACGUUUAUGCUAUAAUAAAAUAUGUAAUAAGUAUAUGCUGGAGCGGGCAGGAUGACUAAUGGACAGAUAACAACCAGAGAUCGAAUAAUUGCUAAAGUCAUUCGUUCAUCAUUCAUUCAUUCAUUCAACAUGCCUUCCUCUGGCGCCUGGUCUGUGUGGAGCCCUCUGCUGGGUGGUACCAGAGACCCAGAGGUGACACGACAGCUGCAGCCCUGCCGUCCCAGGGCUCACGGUCCAGUUGGAGAGACAGGCUCAUCCCCAAAUAGGGAUGACCCGGAGUAGUCUUACCUCGGAUGUAGGAGCCCAGAGGGGGCUCUCGAUCCACCUGGGAGAGUCCAGGAGGCCUUCCUGGGGGAGGGGUGCACUGAACCGGAGAACACAGUAAGACGAUUAACAAGGGGAGCAGCUAUGUCUCUGGCAGGUGAGAUUUCCCAGACGUUGCAUCAAAGGGCUUUAAUGCAUCAUUUCCAUUUAUUUCCCCAAACCCUGGUAAGUGGAACCUAUUUUUAGCUCCAUUUUACAAAUGAGGAAAUUGAACUGUCCCUGCCUAGCUGUGAGUUGCACGGCCCCGGGGCCCAUUGGAACUCACAGCGCGGCGUGUGUAAGAGGGUGUGACAACGCAGAGUGGGCAGGGCCGGGACAGGAGAGCCUAGGGUGCUCCAGGGGGGACCAGAGGAAGGUGGCCCAGCCUGGGAGUCUGGGAAGGCUUCCUGGAGGAGGGGAUGGCUGAGCCAAGAACCGAAGCGUGAGCAGUCAUUAGCCAGAAAAAGAACAGAGGAAAAGUGUUCUGGCCAGAAGAUGACCAAACAUGGUCUGUUUGGGGAGACUGCAAGGCUUUCCGUCUGCUGACUUGCAAAGCUGGAGAGGAAGAGAGGUUGGUGCUGCCGUCAGGGGCGGACACACCCAGGAGCUGGUAAACCAGGCUCUGGAAUCUGGACCCGCAGAAGGAAGUGGCUCCCUGAUUAGUCCUGGACAUCACUGCCUGAAUAGACAUUUCUCCAAAGAGGACAUCGAAAUGGCCAACAGACACAGGAAAAGAUGCUCGACACCGCUAAUCAUCAGGGACAUGCAAAUCAAAACCACAGUGAAACCACCUCACACCGGUUAGAAUGACUGCCAUCGGGAAGACAAGAGACGACAGGGGCUGGCAAGGAUGUCCAGAAAGGGGAACACUUGUGCACUGUUGGUGGGACUGUAAAUUGGUCCAACUGCUACGGAAAACAAUAUGGAGGCUCCUCAGAAAAUUAAAAAUAGAUCUGCCAUACGAUCCAGCAAUUCCACUUCUGGGUUUAUAUCCAAAGCAAAUGAAAACAGGAUUUCAAUGAGAUCCCUGCACCCCCAUGUUCAUCGCAGCAUUAUUCCCAAUAGCCAAGAUAUGGAAACAACCUAUGUGUCCAUCAACGGAGGAAUGGAUAAAGAAGAUGUGGUCUAUAUAUAUAUACAAUGGAAUAUUAUUCAGCCAUGAGAAAGGAAGAUAUCCUCCCAUUUGUGACAAGAGGGAUGGACGUUGAGUGCUUUCUGCUAAGCCAGAUAAGUCAGAGAGAGAAUGAGUAGUACUGUGUGAUCUCACUUAUAUGUGAAAUCUAAAGAAGUUAAAUCUAUGAAAAACAGAGAGUAAAAUGGGGGUCACCAGGGGAUGGGGGAGGGGAUAGGAGUGAUGGUGUUUAAGGGUACAAUUUGUAACAAGUAGUAAAUGAGCCACAGAGCUCUAACACACAGUAUAAUGAAUAUAGACAUAAUAUUGUAUUACAAUGAUGUAAUGUGAUAAAGUUCGCUACAUCGGCAAUUAUAUUACAAUAUAUCAAUGUAUCAAAGUAACACGUUAUACACCUUAAACUUACACAAUGUUACACAUCAAAUUUAUUCAAUAAAAAAGUAAUAAUAGGGGUGGACCUGGUGGCAUAGUGGGUAAGUUUGCGUGCUCCACUUUGGCAGCCUGGGGUUUGCAGGUUCGGAUCCUGGGCACAGACCUACACAUCACGCAUCAAGCCAUGCUGUGGCGGCAUCCCACAUACAAAAUAGAGGAAGAUGGGCACAGAUGUUAGCUCAGGGCCAAUCUUCCUCACCAAAAAAUGAUAAUAAUAAUAAUAACAGCUACCAUUUGUUGAGUAGCAAAAUAAAUAACUUUUAGCCAUAUAACUUAUUUCUAAAUAACUUGUGUAACCAUCACCACGUUUUUAUGAUCCCUCAUCUUACAGAUGAGAAAAAGGAGGCAAGAGUAUCCAUGCAGGUUGCUGAGAAUCACCAGCUAUUAAUUGGUGAAACUGGAAUUUGACCCAAG
rnacentral:lncRNA from 1 species